AAAUGAGCCCAUGGCACAAUUUGGGACUCUGCACUUGACUGAGCAUUAUAGGGGAUGACAUUCAGGAACAGAUGUGAAGAACAUUGCUUAUGCAUGACUUAGGGUGGAGCAGGAGGGAGAGGGAUGCUGCCGUCGACUGACAUCACUGGCCGACAUCUUCAAGCAGACAUGCCUGUGCCGGCACAUCUUCUACCAACAACCAUUGCUCUGCAAAGUAGCAGAGUAGAGGGCUGGAACACUCAAGUGGCGGUGUGGGCUAGAGAAUGAAGAAAAUAGCAUAUCAUAUCAGGGACGGGCCUAUCGCACCACAUUUAGAAGACAGGAAAGCUUGACAAGCUGGCUCCUCCCCUCCAUUGCGCACAGAAGCGCUGCUGAACAUGUUUACUGCUGUUUCAUCUGAGAAAACAGCGUGAAUAUCUCCCCCAUAUAGUGUGGCAUGGUUAGCAUUUUGCAGUAGUUGGGGAUUUACCAGCUGUGACGACUUUAAAUUGUCGCAAAAUGUUUGCGCAAAAAUAUAAGCACAAUCUUGCUUCUUCUCGGAGUACACCCAAAAAUGUUUCCACUUCUAAACUGCUUUGUUAUUUAUGAAGAAUGUGCAUCUCUUUUAUAAAUGUGGGAGGAAAUACACAUGAUCUACACUUUAAAAAUGAACGACCCAGAUGGGACUUGAACCCACAAUCCCCAGCUCCGGAGGCUGAUGCCUUAUCCAUUAGGCCACUGGGUCUGUGCUUUUCUAGUGGUACGCCAGUGAUUUUUUUUUUUUU